AGCGGAAUCGUACGCGAUAUACCUGGCAACCAAUCAUCUAAACCGUCAGCCUGCACUCAUUUUCCAAUUCAUUUUCUGAGCCUUUGAGGAUGAACAAGACCAACGAGAACCAGUCAGGUAAAAAUCAUUGGUGAAGUCACCAGAUGUGGAUGGUGUCAAUGUAACUUCAAAACUGCCGUUGGCCUUGGUACACAUAUGUAUCGUAACCAUGCAGUGAUUACACCAAGUGCUGACAAAUCACACAGUGGUGUUAAUAUGACAUGCCAGGUUAUGGAAUGUUCUUUCACUUCCACAUCUGGGGAUGCAUGGUGAAACGAAUAUCUCUGUGUAGGUCUAUGCAGUGUUGAAUAUGUUUUUCAUUUCUUUCAGCGUGUAUGUUGUUCGACAUUGCAGCGUGCUGAUGAGUUAAUAAAGAGGCAGCAAAAACCUGGGAUCUGCAUUGGCCCUGUCAAGUCUGGAGAGUGUUUUUACCAUUUAAUGAAUUAAAUUGUAAUAAAAGUUUUUAAAUGGA